CUAAGGAGACUGCCGGUGACAACCGGAGGAAGGUGGGGGAUGACGUCAAGUCAUCAUGGCCCUUACGGCCAGGGCUACACACGUGCUACAAUGGUCGGUACAAAGGGUUGCCAAGCCGCGAGGUGGAGCUAAUCCCAUAAAACCGAUCGUAGUCCGGAUCGCAGUCUGCAACUCGACUGCGUGAAGUCGGAAUCGCUAGUAAUCGUGAAUCAGAAUGUCACGGUGAAUACGUUCCCGGGCCUU
rnacentral:rRNA from 1 species